AGCGUACACGGUGGAUGCCCUGGCAGUCAGAGGCGAUGAAGGACGUGCUAAUCUGCGAUAAGCGUCGGUAAGGUGAUAUGAACCGUUAUAACCGGCGAUUUCCGAAUGGGGAAACCCAGUGUGAUUCGUCACACUAUCAUUAACUGAAUCCAUAGGUUAAUGAGGCGAACCGGGGGAACUGAAACAUCUAAGUACCCCGAGGAAAAGAAAUCAACCGAGAUUCCCCCAGUAGCGGCGAGCGAACGGGGAGCAGCCCAGAGCCUGAAUCAGUGUGUGUGUUAGUGGAAGCGUCUGGAAAGGCGCGCGAUACAGGGUGACAGCCCCGUACACAAAAAUGCACAUGCUGUGAGCUCGAUGAGUAGGGCGGGACACGUGGUAUCCUGUCUGAAUAUGGGGGGACCAUCCUCCAAGGCUAAAUACUCCUGACUGACCGAUAGUGAACCAGUACCGUGAGGGAAAGGCGAAAAGAACCCCGGCGAGGGGAGUGAAAAAGAACCUGAAACCGUGUACGUACAAGCAGUGGGAGCACGCUUAGGCGUGUGACUGCGUACCUUUUGUAUAAUGGGUCAGCGACUUAUAUUCUGUAGCAAGGUUAACCGAAUAGGGGAGCCGAAGGGAAACCGAGUCUUAACUGGGCGUUAAGUUGCAGGGUAUAGACCCGAAACCCGGUGAUCUAGCCAUGGGCAGGUUGAAGGUUGGGUAACACUAACUGGAGGACCGAACCGACUAAUGUUGAAAAAUUAGCGGAUGACUUGUGGCUGGGGGUGAAAGGCCAAUCAAACCGGGAGAUAGCUGGUUCUCCCCGAAAGCUAUUUAGGUAGCGCCUCGUGAACUCAUCUCCGGGGGUAGAGCACUGUUUCGGCAAGGGGGUCAUCCCGACUUACCAACCCGAUGCAAACUGCGAAUACCGGAGAAUGUUAUCACGGGAGACACACGGCGGGUGCUAACGUCCGUCGUGAAGAGGGAAACAACCCAGACCGCCAGCUAAGGUCCCAAAGUCAUGGUUAAGUGGGAAACGAUGUGGGAAGGCCCAGACAGCCAGGAUGUUGGCUUAGAAGCAGCCAUCAUUUAAAGAAAGCGUAAUAGCUCACUGGUCGAGUCGGCCUGCGCGGAAGAUGUAACGGGGCUAAACCAUGCACCGAAGCUGCGGCAGCGACGCUUAUGCGUUGUUGGGUAGGGGAGCGUUCUGUAAGCCUGUGAAGGUGUGCUGUGAGGCAUGCUGGAGGUAUCAGAAGUGCGAAUGCUGACAUAAGUAACGAUAAAGCGGGUGAAAAGCCCGCUCGCCGGAAGACCAAGGGUUCCUGUCCAACGUUAAUCGGGGCAGGGUGAGUCGACCCCUAAGGCGAGGCCGAAAGGCGUAGUCGAUGGGAAACAGGUUAAUAUUCCUGUACUUGGUGUUACUGCGAAGGGGGGACGGAGAAGGCUAUGUUGGCCGGGCGACGGUUGUCCCGGUUUAAGCGUGUAGGCUGGUUUUCCAGGCAAAUCCGGAAAAUCAAGGCUGAGGCGUGAUGACGAGGCACUACGGUGCUGAAGCAACAAAUGCCCUGCUUCCAGGAAAAGCCUCUAAGCAUCAGGUAACAUCAAAUCGUACCCCAAACCGACACAGGUGGUCAGGUAGAGAAUACCAAGGCGCUUGAGAGAACUCGGGUGAAGGAACUAGGCAAAAUGGUGCCGUAACUUCGGGAGAAGGCACGCUGAUAUGUAGGUGAAGCGACUUGCUCGUGGAGCUGAAAUCAGUCGAAGAUACCAGCUGGCUGCAACUGUUUAUUAAAAACACAGCACUGUGCAAACACGAAAGUGGACGUAUACGGUGUGACGCCUGCCCGGUGCCGGAAGGUUAAUUGAUGGGGUUAGCGCAAGCGAAGCUCUUGAUCGAAGCCCCGGUAAACGGCGGCCGUAACUAUAACGGUCCUAAGGUAGCGAAAUUCCUUGUCGGGUAAGUUCCGACCUGCACGAAUGGCGUAAUGAUGGCCAGGCUGUCUCCACCCGAGACUCAGUGAAAUUGAACUCGCUGUGAAGAUGCAGUGUACCCGCGGCAAGACGGAAAGACCCCGUGAACCUUUACUAUAGCUUGACACUGAACAUUGAGCCUUGAUGUGUAGGAUAGGUGGGAGGCUUUGAAGUGUGGACGCCAGUCUGCAUGGAGCCGACCUUGAAAUACCACCCUUUAAUGUUUGAUGUUCUAACGUUGACCCGUAAUCCGGGUUGCGGACAGUGUCUGGUGGGUAGUUUGACUGGGGCGGUCUCCUCCUAAAGAGUAACGGAGGAGCACGAAGGUUGGCUAAUCCUGGUCGGACAUCAGGAGGUUAGUGCAAUGGCAUAAGCCAGCUUGACUGCGAGCGUGACGGCGCGAGCAGGUGCGAAAGCAGGUCAUAGUGAUCCGGUGGUUCUGAAUGGAAGGGCCAUCGCUCAACGGAUAAAAGGUACUCCGGGGAUAACAGGCUGAUACCGCCCAAGAGUUCAUAUCGACGGCGGUGUUUGGCACCUCGAUGUCGGCUCAUCACAUCCUGGGGCUGAAGUAGGUCCCAAGGGUAUGGCUGUUCGCCAUUUAAAGUGGUACGCGAGCUGGGUUUAGAACGUCGUGAGACAGUUCGGUCCCUAUCUGCCGUGGGCGCUGGAGAACUGAGGGGGGCUGCUCCUAGUACGAGAGGACCGGAGUGGACGCAUCACUGGUGUUCGGGUUGUCAUGCCAAUGGCACUGCCCGGUAGCUAAAUGCGGAAGAGAUAAGUGCUGAAAGCAUCUAAGCACGAAACUUGCCCCGAGAUGAGUUCU
rnacentral:rRNA from 1 species